UUUAGUCAGGUUUAUCUCUGGAAAGUGUUACGAGUGAUGACCAGCAUGUUCAAGCGGUUUUUAUUGCCGUACUGUGUGCGAUGUCUUGGAUACACCAGCGUUGAUCAAGGGACAACGAUUUUCUCAGCUCUGAUUGUUCCAUUUGGAGGUGGUGUACAAGGACUCAUUCCACAUCUCGAGAUAUGUUCCAACACUUGCUACAAGCGUUUAAAUAAAUGCUGUUAAAUUUCA
rnacentral:lncRNA from 1 species